UAACAUCACCGUCUGUCUGUCUGUCUGUCUGUCUGUCUGUCAAAACCCCAUCAGUUCACUACGACUCAGAGUGGACAUGAUCAAUAGAUAACAUCACCGUCUGUCUGUCUGUCAAGACCCCGUCUGUCAAGACCCCAUCAGUUCACUACAACUCAAAGUGGACAUGAUCAAUAGAUAACAUCACUGUCUGUCUGUCUGUCAGCGUUGGGCUCAAUUCAGACUUGAGUUAAGAAUACUUCUUGAAUUUGAAUUGAAGUAGUAAACAGAAUACAGAAUUGAAAUUUGAAUUUGAAUGAAAGGAAAUAGAAUUGAAUUCAGUGAAAUUCAAAUGCCUCUUGUAUUGUAUAUUAGGUGUAGUCUAUAACUAUAUAUGUUGAAACAGUAGAUUUUUAGGACAAACUAUCUUCCAAUUAAUUAAUGAUCUAGGACAACAAAUCCUGUAUGCAAAUAUUCUGUUUUCAUUAAUCACUUAUUAAUCACACAUAUAUAUAUAUAUAUACUGUAUACACAAAACAUUAGUUUCACCCCUUUUUUCCCUCAGAACAGCCUCAAUUUGUCGGGGCAGGGACUCUACAAGAUAUCAAAUGUGUUCAUCAGGGAUGCUGGCCCAUGUUGUCACAGGGAUGCUGGCCCAUGUUGUCACAGGGAUGCUGGCCCAUGUUGUCACAGGGAUACUGGCCCAUGUUGACUCCAAUGCUUCCCACAGUUGUGUCAAGUUGGCUUGAUGUCCUUUGGGUGAUGGAUCAUUAUUGAUACACACAGAGAAACUGUUGAAUGUGAAAAACCCAGCAGCGUUGCCGUUCUUAACACAAACCAGUACACCUGGCACCUACCACCAUACACAGUUCAGACACUUAAACAUUUAGUCUUGUCCAUUCACCCUCUGAAUGACACACACAAUCCAUGUCUCAAUUGCCAUUCUUUAACCCGUCUCCUCCCCUUCAUCUACACUGAUUGAAGUGGAUUUAACAGGUGACAUCAAUAAGGGAUCAUAUCUUUCACCUGGAUUCACCUGGUCAGUCUGUGUUUAGGAAAGAGCAGGCGUUCCUAAUGUUUUGUGCACUCCGUGUAUAUUGUAAAUGCUAACUGACAGAGUAAUUGUCCCAUAAGUUUUAAAUGAGGUGUUAACAUUUGGUAUUGUUUGUAAACAUUUAAAUAAAAGCUAUUUAGUUCAGUUUUUAAGUUGUAAUGGGGAGGAUCAGUAGUUCAGAGGGCAGGGUGAUCAGUAGUUCAGAGGGCAGGGUGAUCAGUAGUUCAGAGGGCAGGGUGAUCAGUAGUUCAGAGGGCAGGGUGAUCAGUAGCCAGGGUGAUCAUAGCCCAGGGUGAUCAGUGGCCAGGGUGAUCAGUAGUUCAGAGGGCAGGGUGAUCAGUAGUUCAGAGGGCAGGGUGAUCAGUAGUUCAGAGGGCAGGGUGAUCAGUAGUUCAGAGGGCAGGGUGAUCAGUAGUUCAGGGGGCAGGGUGAUCAAUAGUUCUGUGGCCUGGGUGAUCAGUAGUUCAGAGGUCAGGGUGACCAGUGGCCAGGGUGAUCAGUAGUUCAGAGAGCAGGGUGAUCAAUAGUUCAGAGAGCAGGGUGAUCAAUAGUUCUGUGGCCAGGGUGAUCAGUAGUUCUGUGGCCAGGGUGAUCAGUAGUUCAGAGGUCAGGGUGAUCAGUGGUCAGGGUGAUCAGUAGUUAGAGGUCAGGGUGAUCAGUAGUUCAGAGGGCAGGGUGAUCAGUAGUUCUGUGGCCAGGGUGAUCAAUAGUUCUGUGGCCAGGGUGAUCAGUAGUUAGAGGUCAGGGUGAUCGGUAGUUCUGAGGUCGGGGUGAUCGGUGGUUCUGUGGUCAGGAUGAUAGGUAGUUCUGAGGUCAGGGUGAUCGGUAGUUCUGUGGUCAGGAUGAUAGGUAGUUCUGAGGUCAAGUCUGGCCAGGGUGAUCAGUAGUUCUGUGGUCAGGAUGAUCAGUAGUUCUGUGGUCAGGGUGAUCAAUAGUUAUGUGGCCAGUGUGAUCAGUAGUUCAGAGGUCAGGGUGAUCAGUAGUUCAGAGGGCAGGGUGAUCAGUAGUUCUGUGGCCAGGGUGAUCAAUAGUUCUGUGGCCAGGGUGAUCAGUAGUUAGAGGUCAGGGUGAUCGGUAGUUCAGAGGUCAGGGUGAUCGGUAGUUCUGAGGUCGGGGUGAUCGGUAGUUCCGGGGGUCGGGUGAUCGGUAAUUCCGGGUCAGGAUGAUCGGUAGUUCUGUGGUCAGGGUGAUCAAUAGUUCUAUGGUCAGGGUGAUCGGUAUUUCAGGGGCCAGGGUGAUCGGUAGUUCAGAGGUCAGGAUGGUCGGUAGGUCUGUGGUCAGGAUGGUAGGUAGUUCUGAGGUCAGGGUGAUCAAUAGUUCGGAGGCCAGGGUGAUCGGUAGUUCGGCGGCCGGGAUGAUCAGUCGUUCUGAGGUCAGGGUGAUCAGUAGUUCUGAGGUCAGGGUGAUCAGUAGUUCAGAGGUCAGGAUGAUCGGUAGUUUGGCGGUCAGGGUGAUCAGUAGUUCUGAGGUCAGGGUGAUCGGUAGUUCUGAGGUCAGGGUGAUCGGUAGUUCUGAGGUCAGGGUGAUCGGUAGUUCUGAGGUCAGGAUGGUCGGUAGUUCUGUGGUCAGGAUGGUAGGUAGUUCUGAGGUCAAGUCUGGCCAGGGUGAUCAAUAGUUAUGUGGCCAGGGUGAUCAGUAGUUAUGUGGCCAGGGUGAUCAGUAGUUAUGUGGCCAGGGUGAUCGGUAGUUAUGUGGCCAGGGUGAUUGGUAGUUCAGAGGUCAGGGUGAUUGGUAGUUCAGAGGUCAGGGUGAUUGGUAGUUCAGAGGUCAGGGUGAUUGGUAGUUCAGAGGUCAGGGUGAUUGGUAGUUCAGAGGUCAGGGUGAUUGGUAGUUCAGAGGUCAGGGUGAUUGGUAGUUCAGAGGUCAGGGUGAUUGGUAGUUCAGAGGUCAGGGUGAUUGGUAGUUCAGAGGUCAGGGUGAUUGGUA
ensembl:lncRNA